CUACGUAGGGGCCUAGCGUUGUCCGGAUUAUUGGGCGUAAAGAGCUCGUAGGCGGUUCGUAAGUCAGGUGGUGAAUACCUCCACGCUCAACUGGGAGCGCCACCUAGAACUGCCGUGCGUAGAGUCCGUAGGGGAGUGUGGAAUUCCCGGUGUAGCGGUGAAAUGCGCAGAUAUCGGGAGGAACACCAGCGGCGAAGGCGGCACUCUGGGCUGGAACUGACGCUGAGGAGCGAAAGCGUGGGUAGCAAACAGG
rnacentral:rRNA from 1 species